rnacentral:lncRNA from 1 species
ACACCUUAAACGAGUAACAACAUAACGUUUGACCAACAGAAACAAACCGCAGACCAUGAAAGGUUCUAAGCACAGAAGCGCUUCACGCUUCAGAACAACCAGCAGCACCAUAGCCAUUCACAGCAGACGAAACUCAUGGCUUAAAACCAACCUCCACAAACAAGAAGCACAGCGACCCAAGAGAAAACUGGAUAGCAGGGGUGGGCAGAUCCAUCCGAACCAUCAGAAGAAGAGCAAAGCCCCUCCAUACACAACAAGUGGCAACCACACGAAUGAACAAACAUCAAGUCAAUUCAAUUGGGGUACGCCUGCCUCUGGAAGACUGAGAGCCACAGUGGACAGACAAACCCAGAAACAACAAACGACACAAUAGAGCAAUAAAUAGGAAGACAACCACAACGCCGAAGGUAGCAGCAAUGGCACCACGCAACAACCGCCAAUAAAUGAAGACAAGGGAGGAGCAGCUACCACCACGAAGAGAACAUCGACUUCUUGUGA